UAGGGAAUCUUCCACAAUGGACGCAAGUCUGAUGGAGCAACGCCGCGUGAGUGAAGAAGGGUUUCGGCUCGUAAAGCUCUGUUGUUAAAGAAGAACGUGGGUAAGAGUAACUGUUUACCCAGUGACUGUAUUUAACCAGAAAGCCACGGCUGACUACGUACCAG
rnacentral:rRNA from 1 species